AACGAACGCUGGCGGCAGGCCUAACACAUGCAAGUCGAGCGCCCCGCAAGGGGAGCGGCGGACGGGUGAGUACCGCGUGGGAAUAUGCCCUUUGCUACGGAAUAGUCUCGGGAAACUGGGGGUAAUACCGUAUACGCCCUUUGGGGGAAAGAUUUAUCGGCGAAGGAUUAGCCCGCGUUGGAUUAGGUAGUUGGUGGGGUAAUGGCCUACCAAGCCGACGAUCCAUAGCUGGUUUGAGAGGAUGAUCAGCCACACUGGGACUGAGACACGGCCCAGACUCCUACGGGAGGCAGCAGUGGGGAAUCUUAGACAAUAGGGGCAACCCUGAUCUAGCCAUGCCGCGUGAGUGAUGAAGGCCUUAGGGUUGUAAAGCUCUUUCAGCUGGGAAGAUAAUGACGGUACCAGCAGAAGAAGCCCCGGCUAACUCCGUG
rnacentral:rRNA from 1 species